rnacentral:rRNA from 1 species
CCUACGGGUGGCAGCAGUGGGGAAUAUUGCACAAUGGGCGCAAGCCUGAUGCAGCCAUGCCGCGUGUGUGAAGAAGGCCUUCGGGUUGUAAAGCACUUUCAGCGGGGAGGAAGGCGGUGAGGUUAAUAACCUCAUCGAUUGACGUUACCCGCAGAAGAAGCACCGGCUAACUCCGUGCCAGCAGCCGCGGUAAUACGGAGGGUGCAAGCGUUAAUCGGAAUUACUGGGCGUAAAGCGCACGCAGGCGGUCUGUCAAGUCGGAUGUGAAAUCCCCGGGCUCAACCUGGGAACUGCAUUCGAAACUGGCAGGCUAGAGUCUUGUAGGGGGGGGUAGAAUUCCAGGUGUAGCGGUGAAAUGCGUAGGGGUCUGGAGGAAUACCGGUGGCGAAGGCAGCCCCCUGGACAAAGACUGACGCUCAGGUGCGAAAGCGUUGGGAGCAAACUGGAUUAGAUACCCCAGUAGUC